rnacentral:misc_RNA from 1 species
GUUGUUCCCAACACAUAUCACAGUGAGUACACUUCAGUGACUAUCUUUGGUUAUUAUCUUUUUAUUAUGUGUUAAAGCUUCUUAGUUUAUUUUAUAGAUAUAAAACAUGCAUUUGUAUCUAUUGUAUAUAUAUAUAUAUAUUAAACUUCCAGUGAUAUUGAAAUAAUUGAAAGUUUUGUAAAUUUGAGAUACACUUUACUUGGGUGUGCACUUUUUUUGCGCCUUGCUCCUUAGGCGAGUGCACAUUUAGCCUUUGAUUACCGUGGCUCACACUGUUGGCAUACCAGUGCAAUCAUGUAGACUCGGUAUUCCAUGGUGAAAUAUGAGAGGAAAUGGAUGUGAGAGUAAUUUCCCGUCAUAUCCCCUCUUCAAAUAGUACAUUAUACUGAGGUAAGCAAGUUAAUUAUUUUGCGUAGAAAGACCGUGAACAACGGAAAAUUUUACAGAAAUGAAGAAAUAAUGAGAACAAUGCAUUUUGUGUUAUUUUAUUGUCAAGGGUUCUAGCAUUUGUAAUGUUAGAUUUGGGAUUGGGAAGUCUGAUGCCACAUUGAGUAAUGUUACCUGAAUUAAAUAAUAUAGAUAAAUGGUAUGAAAACAUCAAUAAGCGUCUUUGUUUCAGUUAUGCACUUUCUGUUUUCUGUUAUCAUAUGCUGUUAAAUUCUGCAUAAAGUUUAUAUAUUCUUGUGUAUUUUCCUCAUUGUGUGUAAAAUGCUGUUUUCUAGUUUUGGAAUUUUUUAUUGGCAUUUAGCAUUGAAAGAAAGCUGCCUCUUAGGUACAUGGAUGAAAUCGUCUUUGGCAAUGCU